AUUGAACGCUGGCGGCAGGCCUAACACAUGCAAGUCGAGCGGUAGAGAGGAGCUUGCUUCUCUUGAGAGCGGCGGACGGGUGAGUAAUGCCUAGGAAUCUGCCUAGUGGUGGGGGAUAACGUUCGGAAACGGACGCUAAUACCGCAUACGUCCUACGGGAGAAAGCGGGGGACCUUCGGGCCUCGCGCCAUUAGAUGAGCCUAGGUCGGAUUAGCUAGUUGGUGAGGUAACGGCUCACCAAGGCGACGAUCCGUAACUGGUCUGAGAGGAUGAUCAGUCACACUGGAACUGAGACACGGUCCAGACUCCUACGGGAGGCAGCAGUGGGGAAUAUUGGACAAUGGGCGAAAGCCUGAUCCAGCCAUGCCGCGUGUGUGAAGAAGGUCUUCGGAUUGUAAAGCACUUUAAGUUGGGAGGAAGGGUAGUAACUUAAUACGUUGCUACUUUGACGUUACCGACAGAAUAAGCACCGGCUAACUUCGUGCCAGCAGCCGCAGUAAGAC
rnacentral:rRNA from 1 species